rnacentral:rRNA from 1 species
GAUGAACGCUGGCGGCGUGCCUAAUACAUGCAAGUCGAGCGAAGCGGGGACGGGUGUGAAUCACGUGUAAAACCUCCCAUAAGACUGGGAUAACUUCGGGAAACCGGAGCUAUAACGGAUACUUAUACAUGGAUUCGCGAUGCAUUAGCUAGUUGGUAAGGUAACGGAUUACCAAGGCAACGAUGCAUCUCCGCCCUGGGAGGGGGAUCGGCCACACGGGAACUGAGAAACGGUCCAGCCUCCUACGGGAGGAAGCAGUAGGGAAUCUUCCGCAAGGGGCGAAAGCCUGACGGGGCAACGCCGCGUGAGUGAUGAGGGUCUUCGGUUCGUAAAACUCUGUUAUUAGGGAAGCGGUACCUAAACAGAAAGCCACGGCUAACUACGUGCCAGCAGCCGCGGUAAUAC